UACAGAGGGUGCGAGCGUUGUCCGGAAUCACUGGGCGUAAAGGGCGCGUAGGCGGCGCGGAUAGUCGGCGGUGAAAGCCCGGGGCUCAACCUCGGGUCGGCCGUGGCAACUGUCGAGCUGGAGCACUGUAGAGGCAGGUGGAAUUCCGGGUGUAGCGGUGGAAUGCGUAGAGAUCCGGAAGAACACCGGUGGCGAAGGCGGCCUGCUGGGCAGUGGCUGACGCUGAGGCGCGACAGCGUGGGGAGCAAACAGG
rnacentral:rRNA from 1 species